UACGUAGGGCGCAAGCGUUGUCCGGAUUUAUUGGGCGUAAUGAGCGUGUAGGCGGCCAGGUAGGUCAGCUGUGAAAACUCGAGGCUUAACCUCGAGACGCCGGCUGAAACCCUCUGGCUAGAGUCCGGAAGAGGAGAGCGGAAUUCCUGGUGUAGCUGUGAAAUGCGCAGAUAUCAGGAAGAACACCCGUGGCGAAGGCGGCUCUCUGGGACGGUACUGACGCUGAGACGCGAAAGCGUGGGGAGCGAACAGG
rnacentral:rRNA from 1 species